GGUAAAACUGCAAAUAAUAGAGUUUCUAUCAUCCUGGGUAAACACGCAGGCAGGUGCAUUGGUGUAUUUUCUGGGGCCUACGGAUUUUGGUGGAAGGCUCUUAUUGCUUCACCUGUGCAGCUGCCACCAAAGGACUGGAGCGUGAGCAGUGCCCAGGAUCUCAGGAGACCCCAGUCCAUCUGAGUGGUGACCAAGGCAAUCACUUGGCAAGGGCAGAGGUCACAGCCACAUUGGCUAUCACAGCCUCUUCAGCUGCAUGCAAGCUUUCAAUACAUCCCACCUGGAGCUUGGUGGCUCUCACUCCCAGUACUGAAGCCUUAACGAUAACUACGGCAAGUGGAGACAUACUGGAGAGAUUCUGGGAAAAUAUAUGGCAGUUCCUUUAGAAUAGUUGGAGUUGCAGAUAAUAGAAGUGUCCCUCAAAUCCUCUCUUGUCAAUAAGAGUGAAAGGACAGGCACAUCACUGCUGACUGCAAUUAUUCACAGACUUUCACCUCUCCUCCACAUGUCAAGUACUAUGAAGAAUUCCUCUGAAGUUAAUGGUCCUCUUCUCUUUUAUAAUAUUAAGCAUUAAAGCAGAGCUAGAGCUAACAUAACAUAAUCUUCAAGCAGAUUAUUUUCUCCAGAUCCUUAGCAUUUCCCAAAGUUAUAUCAAGCAUUUUUAAUCCACGAAGAAUAAUUGCAGUAACUGAUACUGACAGAAAAUAUUGAGAGCAAGUUAUUUUGUGGCACUGAUUACAUCUAUAAUCAACAAGCACAUGUUCCCAAAGGUUUCAGGCAUUGUCAUGUUAUGGUUAACUGAUGGCACACUCACACAAUUCUAAACUUCAUAAGUACCAGAACUGAAUCUUUGUGGUCUUCCUCUGUACCACUUCCAUCACCUCUGCAUCUUUCUUCUGCUGAGGGUCCCAGAACUGAACAUAGUACUGCAGGUGGGGUCUCACAAGGGAAGAACGGGGGGGAAAAGACCUUGGUCCAGCCUGACCUUGAAUGUUUCCAAGAACCUGAAAAAACAGCAUCUCUCUUAAAUAUUCUCAAAUACUGAAACUUUAAAGGAAUACAGAUACUUUUAACUCUAUUUCUGUUAAUUCCACUGAUUUUUGUGUUCUUGUAACUGUUGUUUAAAUUGUAUUUAAUAUUGUUGGGUCCUGAACUACCUGUGGAGUUGUUUGCUUUCAUCUGGAUGAGGCUCUGGGCAGCCUCAUCUGGUGAUUGGUGACCCUGCACAUAAGAGGGGG
ensembl:lncRNA